rnacentral:lncRNA from 1 species
GCGCCCGCAGCCUUGGGCCUGGGAGAGUGCUGCGAUGAACUUAUGAGUGAAUGCAUCAAAAAGACCAAGUUGAACUUAUGAGCGAAUGCAUCAAAAAGACCAAGACUUGAUCCCUUGCCCACAAAGAUACAAGGCUGAGGACAAAGCCAUGAAGGAAAAGCCUCACUGAAGAAGAGGAACCUAAGAGAAGCAGGUUCUGCUCUGAUGAACUCCCAUAAAGGCAUUCCCAUAAAGGUGUGGGCCUGAGUGAUAAUCUAGAUAUGGUACAGUUGACAUCAGGUAUAUGGCGGCAGCCAGAAAUUCAACUUUGUCCAUCAGCUCUCUGCACAACAGGAAAGAUGGUGACCUUCCAGGCUUAUCUGAGGUCCAAGAGUAACAUCACAAACACAGUAACUACACCCAGCCAAAGAAAAGCAUACCUGAAUCCAAGAGAGUAUUUACACUGGCUUCAGGGAUGAGGAAAUAAAGGAGUAAGUGAUUAGG